rnacentral:rRNA from 1 species
AAUCAACGCUGGCGGCGUGCCUAACACAUGCAAGUCGAGCGGGAAAGGGGGCUUCGGUCCCUGAGUAUAGCGGCGGACGGGUGAGUAACACGUGGGUAAUUUGCCCUUGGGUGUGGAAUAACUCAGGGAAACUUGAGCUAAUACCGCAUGACAUCCCCUUCACACACGAGUUGGGGAUCAAAGCCGGGGACCCUUCGGGGCCUGGCGCCUGAGGAGAAGCCCGCGCCCGAUUAGCUAGUUGGGAGGU